GAUGAACGCUGGCGGCGUGCCUAAUACAUGCAAGUCGAGCGAACAGACGAGGAGCUUGCUCCUCUGACGUUAGCGGCGGACGGGUGAGUAACACGUGGAUAACCUACCUAUAAGACUGGGAUAACUUCGGGAAACAGGAGCUAAUACCGGAUAAUAUAUUGAACGGCAUGAUUCAAUAGUGAAAGACGGUUUUGCUGUCACUUAUAGAUGGAUCCGCGCCGGAUUAGCUAGUUGGUAAGGUAACGGCUUACCAAGGCAACGAUGCGUAGCCGACCUGAGAGGGUGAUCGGCCACACUGGAACUGAGACACGGUCCAGACUCCUACGGGAGGCAGCAGUAGGGAAUCUUGCGCAAUGGGCGAAAGCCUGACGGAGCCAUGCCGCGUGAGUGAUGAAGGUCUUCGGAUCGUAAAACUCUGUUAUUAGGGAAGAACAAAUGUGUAAGUAACUACGCACGUCCUGACGGUACCUAAACAGAAAGCCACGGCUAACUACGUG
rnacentral:rRNA from 1 species